UUGUAAAGCUCUUUCGGGCGGGAAGAAAUGGUUGGGGCUAAUAUGCGCGGGGCAUGACGGUACCGAGACAAGAAGCACCGGCUAACUACGUGCCAGCAGCCGCGGUAAUA
rnacentral:rRNA from 1 species